rnacentral:rRNA from 1 species
AGUAACCUGCCCUUAACUCUGGGAUAAGCCUGGGAAACUGGGUCUAAUACCGGAUAUGACUCCUCAUCGCAUGGUGGGGGGUGGAAAGCUUUAUUGUGGUUUUGGAUGGACUCGCGGCCUAUCAGCUUGUUGGUGAGGUAAUGGCUCACCAAGGCGACGACGGGUAGCCGGCCUGAGAGGGUGACCGGCCACACUGGGACUGAGACACGGCCCAGACUCCUACGGGAGGCAGCAGUGGGGAAUAUUGCACAAUGGGCGAAAGCCUGAUGCAGCGACGCCGCGUGAGGGAUGACGGCCUUCGGGUUGUAAACCUCUUUCAGUAGGGAAGAAGCGAAAGUGACGGUACCUGCAGAAGAAGCGCCGGCUAACUACGUGCCAGCAGCCGCGGUAAUACGUAGGGCGCAAGCGUUAUCCGGAAUUAUUGGGCGUAAAGAGCUCGUAGGCGGUUUGUCGCGUCUGCCGUGAAAGUCCGGGGCUCAACUCCGGAUCUGCGGUGGGUACGGGCAGACUAGAGUGAUGUAGGGGAGACUGGAAUUCCUGGUGUAGCGGUGAAAUGCGCAGAUAUCAGGAGGAACACCGAUGGCGAAGGCAGGUCUCUGGGCAUUAACUGACGCUGAGGAGCGAAAGCAUGGGGAGCGAACAGGAUUAGAUACCCUGGUAGUCCAUGCCGUAAACGUUGGGCACUAGGUGUGGGGGACAUUCCACGUUU